CAUUCAGCUGUGGUUUCGCUGGAUAGGGGUUUGUCUUUUGUCGACGAGCGACGUGAAAACUCGGAAAGGACACUCCAUCAUGUAUGAUGAGUGCAAUAAAAAGAUUCCAGUGAUUAAUGCCAAAGCCCCAUUGCCUGUGGAGAGGGUGAUGUUUGAUUUCCCUGUACAGCUGCAGUUCGUGUGGUGAAGGUGCUCCCACAAUGUGGUUGGGUCACCGUACAGCCUCUGACGCUCCAGGGAAAACAGCCUAUCCAACCCUGGCAACAUCCUGGACUUCUUUUCGGACCCCUUUCAAGUUUGAGAACAUCCAUCUGACAGGAAGGAGACCAGAAUUGCAUGGAAUAUUACAAAAGUUGCCGAAUCAAUGUCCAGUACAGUCGCAAUAUGACCUCCCAACCCCUACACUCAAUGCUCUUACCAAUAAAGACAAGCAGACCAACUGCCGCCUUCACUAA